UCCCUGGUGGUCCAGUGGCUAGGACUCUACCCUCCCAAUUCAGGGAGCCCGGGUUUGAUUCCUGGUCAGGGAA
rnacentral:tRNA from 1 species